AUUGCCACUUGAGGGUACUAUUUUAGCAGAAAUCAAACAAAUUUACACUUAACUAAUCAUGUAAGGCACGUAGAGACCCAAGUUAACUAGUACUAAGUGUUCAAUUUAAGUGCUGUGAAUCUUUUCUUCAUUCAAGUUAAUUUUGUGUCCCGUAUCAGCCUUUUUUGUUUUUGUUCUCCUCCUAUUCUAUGCCACUUCGUUUCUGCAAUUCAGUACUCCAGAUUUCAAGAUCUGAAUUUGUUUCCUUCUUACGCACACCAACUCACUUCCACUCCUUGCCUGUGUUCUCUGACUUGAUGAACUACGGCACCUUAACCCAGUCAGAACUCUGAACAACCACCCACUCAGCCCCUGACUGAUGGGUCCAAGUCCCAUCAAACUCUCCCUCCCUCUGGAAUCCCUUCACUUCUCUCCAUCCUCGCUAGGUAGCUCAGACCACUGUCGCAUCUCCCUGGAUAACCGCGACAGUCUCCAGCUCUCCCUGCCUGUUGGAGUGCUCACUCCCCAACCAAUCUCUUCUCAUGCUGCAGGCCACAGUAGCCUUUCUGAUCUAAACUGAUCUAAACAUGUCACUCUUAUCUAAUUCAUUUUACUGACAGCUCGUUGCUGUCACAAUAAAGUCCUUACCGGACCUUUUUGGGUUCUUCACAUGCUCCAUACUUGGUCCUGCUACUCGGGUUGUGCAAAAGGAGGUUCUGUUCCAUCACACUACCUUUCCACUUGGCCCACCCUUCCCAGUCUAAGCCGUGCCUGCUUCUUCGGAGGCCCCCUCUCACCUGGUGACGAGCUCUCCCUAGGGCAGGAACAAGAUGCGGGCACUCCUGCAGGCUAUGAAUUGGCAUCCAUUCAGAUGGUGAUUUAAAAAUAGUCCAAAAGGGAAAAACUGAUUUCAUCUUAAUAAAAACUAUUCUUUACACACUAAUUCAAGGCUACUGUGUGAAGAAAACUCCGCAAAGUAUUUCCCAGCUUUCUGUAAUUCUAGUUUUCCUAAUGUUCCUUUACAAUCCUCCAAGCCAGAAUCCUUCUUGGAAGACAUAUUAGCUUUACAUGUUACAGAAUCAAACAGAUCCCUCUCCUCUAAAUAACACUAUACCAUGUAUUCUUCGAUGCUGGUAUUCAACCAGCUUUGACCACUGACUUUGAGGGAACAGAGAGGCACACACAUGCACCUGCCACAGAAACACUCAGCAACACAGACCAGCGUCAGGGAGACUUGUUUUCAUUUCCACCCGAGGGUACUGUCUGUUUCAGCAGGAGCCAAACAAAUUUACAUCGAGCUGAUCAGGACCCAAAUCAUCCCUUAUUUCAGAGGUGCUUCUCUGUGCAAACAAAGGAUCUAAAGAGAGUGCAUCACCCCGCCAGCUCUGAAUCAUUAAACAAAGCACAAAACAUUACUCUCGCUAUUUUUUUCAAUGGUUAGAAUAGUGUGAAUGAAACUAAUUAAGAGAAAGGAAGUGGCCUCCAACAAAGAACGAGUCGGACUCUAAAGGGUGAGAGAUGCAUUAGCGGAAAUCCACACGGUGACGAGCCCUCCUUCUGGAAGCUUCCAGAAGGAAGCGCAGGCAGCAGACGUCAGGAGAGCCCACGUCUCAUCUCUGCUCUGACUUCUUAUUCCACCUCUCCAGGAUCCUGCCAACGUGAGGAACGGGUGGAUUUAAACAAAAGAAAUCUCUGAGAGAGCCCGCUCUUCUUGCUGGCCAAACAUUUCAGUUAUUUCCCCAUCAGAACGGCCACAGAACUUGCCUGAGUCUCAUCCUUUCGCUUCUCUUUCAGACAUCCAGGUGUGACUUUUAGAGAAUUGUGAAGCUGCAGUUCUUAAAUUAUUUUCAGAUCCCUUCAAAUCAAGAGGCGUAGACUUUGCACACAGCCCGGAACCAGCACUCGGAGCUUGUGUGGAACAAGCGCCAAGCUCCCGCACCCUCUACCAGGGGCUUCUGCUCCCCAAUGCCACGUGGCGGUGUCACCUCUCCUUCCAAAUGAAGUUCAGGGGCCUCCCAGCCGCUCUGGGAAGACUCCUCUGAGCUCCACCACUAGCCUGCCCUACCCUGACAGUGAGGUGCUCCCCUGAAGGCCCCCGUAACAUCUCGGGCAAACCCUUAGUUUAGCACCAUCUACAUUUCCUACCUGGUUGAUGACAUGUGUAUUUCUUACCCUGUGACCUUCUCCAGAGCGGGCAAUAUUUCUUGCUAUCUCUGUAUCUUCAGCACCUAGAAUAACAUCCUACACAUAGUACAUGUUCAGUAAAAUGUCUGUUGAAAAAAUAAACUGGAUGGAUCUAA